GUUGGUACCGAUUGCUGUGAGGGUACACCCGUUCCCAUUCCGAACACGGAAGUUAAGCUCAUCUGCGCCGAAGAUACUUGCCCGGUAACGGGCUGGAAAAAUAGGCGGCGCCAACA
rnacentral:rRNA from 1 species